GACGAACGCUGGCGGCGUGCUUAACACAUGCAAGUCGAACGGAAAGGCCCUGCUUUUGUGGGGUGCUCAAGUGGCGAACGGGUGAGUAACACGUGAGUAACCUGCCCUUGACUUUGGGAUAACUUCAGGAAACUGGGGCUAAUACCGGAUAGGAGCUCCUGCUGCAUGGUGGGGGUUGGAAAGUUUCGGCGGUUGGGGAUGGACUCGCGGCUUAUCAGCUUGUUGGUGGGGUAGUGGCUUACCAAGGCUUUGACGGGUAGCCGGCCUGAGAGGGUGACCGGCCACAUUGGGACUGAGAUACGGCCCAGACUCCUACGGGAGGCAGCAGUGGGGAAUAUUGCACAAUGGGCGGAAGCCUGAUGCAGCAACGCCGCGUGCGGGAUGACGGCCUUCGGGUUGUAAACCGCUUUCGCCUGUGACGAAGCGUGAGUGACGGUAAUGGGUAAAGAAGCACCGGCUAACUACGUGCCAGCAGCCGCGGUGAUACGUAGGGUGCGAGCGUUGUCCGGAUUUAUUGGGCGUAAAGGGCUCGUAGGUGGUUGAUCGCGUCGGAAGUGUAAUCUUGGGGCUUAACCCUGAGCGUGCUUUCGAUACGGGUUGACUUGAGGAAGGUAGGGGAGAAUGGAAUUCCUGGUGGAGCGGUGGAAUGCGCAGAUAUCAGGAGGAACACCAGUGGCGAAGGCGGUUCUCUGGGCCUUUCCUGACGCUGAGGAGCGAGAGCGUGGGGAGCGAACAGGCUUAGAUACCCUGGUAGUCCACGCUGUAAACGGUGGGUACUAGGUGUGGGGUCCAUUCCACGGGUUCCGUGCCGUAGCUAACGCUUUAAGUACCCCGCCUGGGGAGUACGGCCGCAAGGCUAAAACUCAAAGGAAUUGACGGGGCCCCGCACAAGCGGCGGAGCAUGCGGAUUAAUUCGAUGCAACGCGUAGAACCUUACCUGGGUUUGACAUGGAUCGGGAGUGCUCAGAGAUGGGUGUGCCUCUUUUGGGGUCGGUUCACAGGUGGUGCAUGGCUGUCGUCAGCUCGUGUCGUGAGAUGUUGGGUUAAGUCCCGCAACGAGCGCAACCCUUGUUCACUGUUGCCAGCACGUUAUGGUGGGGACUCAGUGGAGACCGCCGGGGUCAACUCGGAGGAAGGUGGGGAUGACGUCAAGUCAUCAUGCCCCUUAUGUCCAGGGCUUCACGCAUGCUACAAUGGCUGGUACAGAGAGUGGCGAGCCUGUGAGGGUGAGCGAAUCUCGGAAAGUCGGUCUCAGUUCGGAUUGGGGUCUGCAACUCGACCUCAUGAAGUCGGAGUCGCUAGUAAUCGCAGAUCAGCAACGCUGCGGUGAAAACGUUCCCGGGGCU
rnacentral:rRNA from 1 species